rnacentral:rRNA from 1 species
AUUGAACGCUAGCGGGAUGCUUUACACAUGCAAGUCGAACGAGUGGCGGACGGGUGAGUAACACAUCGGAACGUGCCCAGUAGCGGGGGAUAACUACUCGAAAGAGUGGCUAAUCCCGCAUACUAUUGGAGCGGCCGAUAUCGGAUUAGCUAGUUGGUGGGGUAAAGGCUCUCCAAGGUAACGAUCCGUAGCUGGUUUAAGAGGACGACCAGCCAGAAUGAGACUGAGACACGGCCCAGACUCCGACGGGAGGCAGCAGUGGGGAAUGUUGGACAAUGGGGGAAACCCUGAUCCAGCCAUCCCGCGUGUAUGAGAAGGCCUUCGGGUUGUAAAGUGCUUUUGGCAGAGAGGCGGUAUCUGAAGAAUAAGCGCCGGCUAACUACGUGCCAGCAGCCGCGGUAAUAC